rnacentral:rRNA from 1 species
GACGAAGGGGGCUAGCGUUGCUCGGAAUCACUGGGCGUAAAGCGCACGUAGGCGGAUUGCUAAGUCAGGGGUGAAAUCCUGGAGCUCAACUCCAGAACUGCCUUUGAUACUGGCGAUCUCGAGUCCGGGAGAGGUGAGUGGAACUGCGAGUGUAGAGGUGAAAUUCGUAGAUAUUCGCAAGAACACCAGUGGCGAAGGCGGCUCACUGGCCCGGUACUGACGCUGAGACGCGAAAGCUAGGGGAGCGAACAGG